rnacentral:rRNA from 1 species
CCUACGGGAGGCAGCAGUAGGGAAUCUUCCGCAAUGGACGCAAGUCUGACGGAGCAACGCCGCGUGAGUGACGAAGGUUUUCGGAUCGUAAAACUCUGUUGUGAGGGAAGAACACGUACCAACUAACUAUUGGUACCUUGACGGUACCUCACCAGAAAGCCACGGCUAACUACGUGCCAGCAGCCGCGGUAAUACGUAGGUGGCAAGCGUUGUCCGGAAUUAUUGGGCGUAAAGCGCGCGCAGGCGGUUCCUUAAGUCUGAUGUGAAAGCCCACGGCUCAACCGUGGAGGGUCAUUGGAAACUGGGGAACUUGAGUGCAGAAGAGGAAAGUGGAAUUCCACGUGUAGCGGUGAAAUGCGUAGAGAUGUGGAGGAACACCAGUGGCGAAGGCGACUUUCUGGUCUGUAACUGACGCUGAGGCGCGAAAGCGUGGGGAGCAAACAGGAUUAGAUACCCUGGUAGUCCACGCCGUAAACGAUGAGUGCUAAGUGUUAGGGGGUUUCCGCCCCUUAGUGCUGCAGCUAACGCAUUAAGCACUCCGCCUGGGGAGUACGGCCGCAAGGCUGAACUCAAAGGAAUUGACGG